rnacentral:rRNA from 1 species
GGCGACGAUCCGUAGCGGGUCUGAGAGGAUGAUCCGCCACACUGGGACUGAGACACGGCCCAGACUCCUACGGGAGGCAGCAGUGGGAAUUUUGGACAAUGGGCGAAAGCCUGAUCCAGCCAUGCCGCGUGAGUGAAGAAGGCCUUCGGGUUGUAAAGCUCUUUCAGGUGGAAAGAAAACGCAUAGGUUAAUACCUUGUGCGGAUGACGGUACCAUCAGAAGAAGCACCGGCUAACUACGUGCCAGCAGCCGCGGUAAUACGUAGGGUGCGAGCGUUAAUCGGAAUUACUGGGCGUAAAGCGUGCGCAGGCGGUUAUGUAAGACAGAUGUGAAAUCCCCGGGCUCAACCUGGGAACUGCGUUUGUGACUGCAUAACUAGAGUACGGCAGAGGGAGGUGGAAUUCCGCGUGUAGCAGUGAAAUGCGUAGAUAUGCGGAGGAACACCGAUGGCGAAGGCAGCCUCCUGGGCCAGUACUGACGCUCAUGCACGAAAGCGUGGGGAGC